CAGGGGCCUGUUGCACAAAAGUAGAAUUAAGACAUCCGGGAUAAAUGACUCAGCUGAGCUCAAUGAAGCCAAAACAUGUGCGUCCAGGCUUAAUUGGUUGCACAAAGACCAAGCCAGGAUGAGCAGACACGGAUUCAUUAAGCCAGGUGAAACCAAUCCUGGAUAGGUGCGCGCUCACGGCUCACUCAAAUAGACCCCGCCACAGAUCACAGAUUAACUGAUUUACCAUGGCAACUAGAGCCGCGUACUUUUCCCCGUCGGAAGCACAAAUCCUCAUGGAGGCAUACGAGGAGGUAAAAGAUAUAAUUAAGAAGAAAGGCAACACCGCCACAGUGAUAAAGCAAAGAGAAAAAGCGUGGCAAAGUAUUGCAGACCGCCUGAAUGCCAGGUCAAAAUCAAAUACAAGAACAUUCUGCAGAAUGCAGUGAAAAAGAAUACCCACAGACAAGGCACGGGUGGUGGGUCACCAAAGGCUGACCUUACCCCAGCAGAGGACAUGGCCUUGGAGCUAAAUAAAGGCAGGCCCGUCUUAGAGGGGAUCCCUGGGGGGAAAGAGACGAGCAUAGGUUCCUCCCAAGAUGCCACCCGCUUCAUUCAAGGUAUGUCCUUCCAUCUCUACAUGGGAUACAACCACAUUCAUAUUGAAUCAAUUUGGACUGUCUGACUUUGGUUUACCUAUUGCCUGGCAGCACUGUGUUCCUGUUAGAGCCACCAGCACAAGCACCAGACGAUGCUGAUCCAGGUGAAGGCCCCAGUGCAGCAGCAACAGCACAUGAUGGAGACGAUGAUGAGGAGGAGACCAUCUCUCUGGAUUCCAGAAGGCAUGAGGACCCAGAUGCUAUACAGUGGGAAAACCAGCCUGGCAACAUAGUGCGUAUUAAUAAAAGGACACCACAUCCUGCCAAAUUCCAGCUGCGCUAAUUGUAUUGUGUUCACAGAGCUCACAAGCUAUCAGAAAGUUGUAUGGCAACCACCUCCGGCGCCAAAUAGAACUGGCAGACAUAGACAUUCAGUACAAGAAGAAAAAGAUGGAAAAUCUUGCACUGGAGUCCGAAAUAAAAAAGAGGACAAUUAGGAAACUGGACCUUGAAAUAAAAAAACUUGAGAGGGAGCUCCAAGAAGAUGACACAGCUCAAAAUAAAAAUUAGGUAUAUUCUCGUAAAGUCAAGUGAGCCAUGACAUAUGAGCUCUUAUUGUGAGCACACAGGACGGUGGCAUCUUUCUAAGGUUUUUUUUAUUUUCCCAGCAAUCAGUACAACCAAGUCAUCGUUAUAAGGCAUCGCCCUCUUUUGCCCAUCCCCCCAGCACCAGGUGUGGCCACUAGCCUAUAUGAAGGCCCAAAAUUGUGUGUUCCUUUCUGCUCUGACAAUGGCAUGCCCAUUCGUGCGAGAUGUGGUGGAUGAAGAAGUACUUGUGCUGAGGAGAGCCUUCAGGCGAGAAAGGGUCUUCAGGGACCGGUUGGACCCACUGGCCUUCCCUGAUGACCAUCUAUAUGAAAGAUACAGGAUUUCUGCAGAUGGCAUCAGGUAUCUAUGCAGACUACUGGGUCCCAGGAUUAAGCACCGCACUGCACGGAGCCAUGCACUGAGUGGGGAGCAAAUGGUUUGUGUGGCCUUGCGCUUUUUUGCUAGUGGAGCCUUCCUGUACUCAGUGGGGGAUGCAUUUACAUUUAAGUCAUUUAGCAGACGCUCUUAUCCAGAGCGACUUACAAAUUGGUGCUUUCACCUUAUGACAUCCAGUGGAACAGCCACUUUA